rnacentral:rRNA from 1 species
UGGGGAAUUUUGGACAAUGGGGGAAACCCUGAUCCAGCCAUCCCGCGUGUGCGAUGAAGGCCUUCGGGUUGUAAAGCACUUUUGGCAGGAAAGAAACGUCGCGGGUUAAUACCCCGCGAAACUGACGGUACCUGCAGAAUAAGCACCGGCUAACUACGUGCCAGCAGCCGCGGUAUNNUAGGGUGCAAGCGUUAAUCGGAAUUACUGGGCGUAAAGCGUGCGCAGGCGGUUCGGAAAGAAAGAUGUGAAAUCCCAGAGCUUAACCUUGGAACUGCAUUUUUAACUACCGGGCUAGAGUGUGUCAGAGGGAGGUGGAAUUCCGCGUGUAGCAGUGAAAUGCGUNAUAUGCGGAGGAACACCGAUGGCGAAGGCAGCCUCCUGGGAU